UCUCAAGCGUGACAAGGGCAUCUGGUGGAUGCCUUGGCACUGGAAGGCGAUGAAGGACGUGGCACCCUGCGAAAAGUUCCGGGGAGAUGGGAGCAAUCUUUGAUCCGGAAAUGUCCGAAUGGGGAAACCCACCGCAUCUGUGGUAUCCACACCUGAAUUCAUAGGGUGUGGAAGCGAACCCGGCGAACUGAAACAUCUAAGUAGCCGGAGGAAAGGAAAUCAACCGAGACUCCGCAAGUAGUGGCGAGCGAACGCGGACCAGCCCAGUGGCUGCAGUGAAACAACCGGAAACGUCUGGAAAGGCGUGCCAGAGCGGGUGACAGCCCCGUACGGGUAAAAAACACUGUAGUCCUCGAGUAAGGCGGGACACGUGAAAUCCUGUCUGAACAUGGGGGGACCACCCUCCAAGGCUAAGUACUCUCCAGUGACCGAUAGUGAACCAGUACCGUGAGGGAAAGGUGAAAAGCACCCCAACGAGGGGAGUGAAACAGUUCCUGAAACCGGAUGCCUACAAGCAGUCGGAGCGGAAUUCCUUCGGGAAUGUCCGUGACGGCGUACCUUUUGUAUAAUGGGUCAGCGACUUACCGUAUCGAGCAAGCUUAAGCCGGCAGGUGUAGGCGAAGCGAAAGCGAGUCUGAACAGGGCGUUCAGUUCGAUGCGGUAGACCCGAAACCAGGUGAUCUAGCCAUGGUCAGGUUGAAGGUGGAGUAACACCCACUGGAGGACCGAACCCACGUCUGUUGAAAAAGACGGGGAUGAACUGUGGCUAGGGGUGAAAGGCCAAUCAAACCUGGAAAUAGCUGGUUCUCCGCGAAAGCUAUUUAGGUAGCGCGUCGGAUCUAUACCGCCGGGGGUAGAGCACUGGAUCGGGACGGGGGGCGCGAGCCUUACCAACUCGAACCAAACUCCGAAUACCGGCGAGUACUGUCCGGCAGACAGACGGUGGGUGCUAAGGUCCAUCGUCAAAAGGGAAACAGCCCAGACCGCCAGCUAAGGUCCCCAAGUCAUGGCUAAGUGGGAAAGGAUGUGGGACGGCCAAAACAACCAGGAGGUUGGCUUAGAAGCAGCCAUCCUUUAAAGAAAGCGUAACAGCUCACUGGUCUAAUUAAGCUGUCCUGCGCCGAAGAUGUACCGGGGCUAAAGCCAUGCACCGAAGCUGCGGGCUUGUCUAUGACAAGCGGUAGCGGAGCGUUCCGUAAGCCGGUGAAGGCAAACUGUGAGGUUUGCUGGAGGUAUCGGAAGUGAGAAUGCUGACAUGAGUAGCGACAAACAGGGUGAGAAACCCUGUCGCCGUAAGUCCAAGGGUUCCUGCGCAAGGCUAAUCCGCGCAGGGUAAGCCGGCCCCUAAGGCGAGGCCGAAAG
rnacentral:rRNA from 1 species